rnacentral:rRNA from 1 species
UACGAAGGGGGCUAGCGUUGCUCGGAAUCACUGGGCGUAAAGGGUGCGUAGGCGGGUCUUUAAGUCAGGGGUGAAAUCCUGGAGCUCAACUCCGGAACUGCCUUUGAUACUGGAGAUCUUGAGUUCGGGAGAGGUGAGUGGAACUGCGAGUGUAGAGGUGAAAUUCGUAGAUAUUCGCAAGAACACCAGUGGCGAAGGCGGCUCACUGGCCCGAUACUGACGCUGAGGCACGAAAGCGUGGGGAGCAAACAGG